GCCAACGGGCUCCGCGAGCGAGCACUCGACUCUGGCGUAGAGCAACGCCUCCAAAUCCGCGAGUGGAACACAACCUGCGCCGCCGGAGCCAGGCGGAAGCGGAAGUUCUAUCCUUCGGGCGCCGAUUUACCCAGCAUACUAUGCGUGUUGUCAUUCCCUUCGGCUGUUUGCUCCCAGCACCGCCGCACCGGUCACUUGUCUGUUCAGCGCCGUUCACCUGCUGCUUAAAAUUGUGGAAUGGAUAUCUCGCCAAGCGUGCAGCAGCUUUUGCUCCCUCGCGAGUCGCGACAGGUGGCGCCCCCCAGCAGACAAACGUUGUAAAGGAAAUGCGUCACGCAGAGUUCCGGUCCACUCCGCCUAUUUUGGCGGAGCAUCUUUUCCUGCUCCACGGAAUGAC
rnacentral:lncRNA from 1 species